rnacentral:rRNA from 1 species
UACGGGGGCUUUCCUUCGGGACAGCAGAGACAGGUGGUGCAUGGUUGUCGUCAGCUCGUGUCGUGAGAUGUUGGGUUAAGUCCCGCAACGAGCGCAACCCUUAUCUUUAGUAGCCAGCAUUUAAGGUGGGCACUCUAGAGAGACUGCCAGGGACAACCUGGAGGAAGGCGGGGAUGACGUCAAAUCAUCAUGCCCCUUAUGGCCAGGGCUACACACGUGCUACAAUGGCGUAAACAAAGGGAAGCAAGAUCGUGAGAUGGAGCAAAUCCCAAAAAUAACGUCCCAGUUCGGAUUGUAGUCUGCAACCCGGCUACAUGAAGCUGGAAUCGCUAGUAAUCGCGGAUCAGAAUGCCGCGGUGAAUACGUUCCCGGGUCUUGUACACACCGAA